GGAGCAAUGCCGCCUGAGUGAAGAAGGGUUUCGGCUCGUAAAACUCUGUUGUUAAAGAAGAACACCUUUGAGAAGUACUGUUCAAGGGUUGACGGUAUUUAACCAGAAAGCCACGGCUAAUUACGUGCCAGCAGCCGCGGUAAUACGUAGGUGGCAAGCGUUGUCCGGAUUUAUUGGGCGUAAAGCGAGCGCAGGCGGUUUUUUAAGUCUGAUGUGAAAGCCUUCGGCUUAACCGGAGAAGUGCAUCGGAAACUGGGAGACUUGAGUGCAGAAGAGGACAGUGGAACUCCAUGUGUAGCGGUGGAAUGCGUAGAUAUAUGGAAGAACACCAGUGGCGAAGGCGGCUGUCUAGUCUGUAACUGACGCUGAGGCUCGAAAGCAUGGGUAGCGAACAGGAUUAGAUACCCUGGUAGUCCAUGCCGUAAACGAUGAGUGCUAAGUGUUGGAGGGUUUCCGCCCUUCAGUGCUGCAGCUAACGCAUUAAGCACUCCGCCUGGGGAGUACGACCGCAAGGUUGAAACUCAAAGGAAUUGACGGGGGCCCGCACAAGCGGUGGAGCAUGUGGUUUAAUUCGAAGCUACGCGAAGAACCUUACCAGGUCUUGACAUCUUCUGCCAAUCUUAGAGAUAAGACGUUCCCUUCGGGGACAGAAUGACAGGUGGUGCAUGGUUGUCGUCAGCUCGUGUCGUGAGAUGUUGGGUUAAGUCCCGCAACGAGCGCAACCCUUAUUAUCAGUUGCCAGCAUUCAGUUGGGCACUCUGGUGAGACUGCCGGUGACAAACCGGAGGAAGGUGGGGAUGACGUCAAAUCAUCAUGCCCCUUAUGACCUGGGCUACACACGUGCUACAAUGGACGGUACAACGAGUUGCGAAGUCGUGAGGCUAAGCUAAUCUCUUAAAGCCGUUCUCAGUUCGGAUUGUAGGCUGCAACUCGCCUACAUGAAGUUGGAAUCGCUAGUAAUCGCGGAUCAGCAUGCCGCGGUGAAUACGUUCCCGGGCCUUGUACACACCGCCCGUCACACCAUGAGAAGUUUG
rnacentral:rRNA from 2 species